AGCGAACCUUCAACAAAUACCACGAUCAUCAGAUUGCGGUGAUCAUCUACCCGCACAAGAAUUUUUCUGAAAUUUUCUGCGGCGUGCGAGGAAUUCCAACACCCGAGCCCCGAUCGGCGAUCGAAGAUGCCGCUUCUCCGCUGCCGUCGACCUCGCCGUCGUCUGAGAUAGAAAUACAUGGUCCUAUCAAUUCAUCUUCAUUUUGGUUGUUGCCGUUGUCGCUGAUGCUCAUAGAUGUCGAUAGGCCAUGUAAGGGGAGUGGGGAAGGGGAUGGGGAAGAAGAAGGGAGUACAGAAAGAUAAAGUGCAGAAAGGCAAAUGGGACCAAUUGAUAGUAUCUGCAAAAUAACAUGGAGCUGGAGUAGAAUAUCAAAAUACUUCAGACAGGAUCCUUUCUGGAGUUUUUUUUUUCACUUAGGAACCCUUAGCCUAUCAAUAUUUUGUAACCUUUUUACUGUGAGAUUUGUAAAUUCAGGUGUUUUCAAGAGUUCUUGGCUAUUCAGGCACCCUCUAAUGUAAAGUCAAUAGGUUGCAUCCUGCUCUAGCCACGCAUGCCAAAAGCUUGAAACAAUGUCUGCAUGUACAGAAGUGGAUGAAACCAGCAUCGCAUGCUGGGCUCCAAGCCUUACAGAUUAAAUAGUAGCAGAAAACAUUAUAUUGGACCCAGGUAAAGCCCUUAAACAGGGUGGAGUUGUUUCUCCUCUCAUGCUUUACAUAUUUGAUAUUGUCUCUAA